CUGGCUCAGGAUGAACGCUGGCUACAGGCUUAACACAUGCAAGUCGAGGGGCAGCAUGGUCGUGGCUUGCCACGGCUGAUGGCGACCGGCGCACGGGUGAGUAACGCGUAUCCAACCUUCCCCCCGGUAGGGGACAGCCCGGUGAAAACCGGAUUAAUACCCUAUGCCGUCACACCGGGGCAUCUUAAUGUGACGAAAGAUUUAUCGCCUGGGGAUGGGGAUGCGUCUGAUUAGGCAGUAGGCGGGGCAACGGCCCACCUAGCCACCGAUCAGUAGGGGUUCUGAGAGGAAGGUCCCCCACAUUGGAACUGAGACACGGUCCAAACUCCUACGGGAGGCAGCAGUGAGGAAUAUUGGUCAAUGGGCGGAAGCCUGAACCAAGCCAAGUAGCGUGAGGGAUGACGGCCCUACGGGUUGUAAACCUCUUUUAUGCGGGGAUAACCGCCCCCACGUGUGGGGGCCUGCAGGUACCGCAUGAAUAAGGACCGGCUAAUUCCGUGCCAGCCGCCGC
rnacentral:rRNA from 1 species